CGUAAAGCGCAUGCAGGUGGUUUGUUAAGUCAGAUGUGAAAGCCCGGGGCUCAACCUCGGAAUUGCAUUUGAAACUGGCAGACUAGAGUACUGUAGAGGGGGGUAGAAUUUCAGGUGUAGCGGUGAAAUGCGUAGAGAUCUGAAGGAAUACCGGUGGCGAAGGCGGCCCCCUGGACAGAUACUGACACUCAGAUGCGAAAGCGUGGGGAGCAAACAGGAUUAGAUACCCUGGUAGUCCACGCCGUAAACGAUGUCUACUUGGAGGUUGUGGCCUUGAGCCGUGGCUUUCGGAGCUAACGCGUUAAGUAGACCGCCUGGGGAGUACGGUCGCAAGAUUAAAACUCAAAGGAAUUGACGGGGGCCCG
rnacentral:rRNA from 1 species